rnacentral:rRNA from 1 species
CCUACGGGAGGCAGCAGUGAGGAAUAUUGGUCAAUGGGCGCGAGCCUGAACCAGCCAAGUAGCGUGAAGGAUGACUGCUCUACGGGUUGUAAACUUCUUUUAUAAAGGAAUAAAGUGAGGCACGUGUGCCUUUUUGUAUGUACUUUAUGAAUAAGGAACGGCUAACUCCGUGCCAGCAGCCGCGGUAAUACGGAGGAUCCGCGCGUUAUCCGGAUUUAUUGGGUUUAAAGGGAGCGUAGAUGGGUUGUUAAGUCAGUUGGGAAAGGUUGCGGCUCAACCGUAAAAUUGCAAUUGAUACUGGCAGCCGUGAGUACAGUAGAGGUAGGCGGAAUUCGUGGUGUAGCGGUGAAAUGCGUAGAUAUCACGAAGAACACCGAUGGCGAAGGCAGCUUACUAAACUGCCACUGACAUUGAUGCUCGAAAGUGUGGGUAGCAAACAGGAUUAGAUACCCUGGUAGUC